UCGAGAAUCUUCGGCAAUGGACGCAAGUCUGACCGAGCGACGCCGCGUGCGGGAUGAAGGCCCUUGGGUUGUAAACCGCUGUCAGAGGGGAUGAAAUCAUUGGGGGUUCUCCCCCUUUGUUGACAGAGCCUCAGAGGAAGCACGGGCUAAGUACGUGCCAGCAGCCGCGGUAACACGUACUGUGCGAACGUUAUUCGGAAUCACUGGGCUUAAAGGGUGCGUAGGCGGCCAGACAAGUAGGGUGUGAAAGCUCUCGGCUCAACCGAGGAAUUGCGCUCUAAACUGUUUGGCUUGAGUAAGAUAGGGGUGUGCGGAACUUCCGGUGGAGCGGUGAAAUGUGUUGAUAUCGGAAGGAACACCGGUAGCGAAAGCGGCACACUGGGUCUUAACUGACGCUGAGGCACGAAAGCCAGGGUAGCGAACGGG
rnacentral:rRNA from 1 species